rnacentral:tRNA from 1 species
GCCUUCGUGGUGUAGUGGUCAGCACGCUCGACGUGUAUUCGAGAGGUCCGUGGUUCGAGUCCCGGAGAGGGCA